CACCUUGGUCUCCACGCCGUAAACUUGAGAGUAGCCGUAGCAAGUUACUCUCGGUGGGCAGCAUCGCAUUAAGCUCUCCGCAUGGGGAGUACGCUCUCAAGAUUCCAACUCAAUGGAAUUGACGGGGGCCCGCCCAAGCGGUGGAGCAUGUGGUGGAAUUCGCAGCAACGCGCAGAACCUUACCAGCCCUCGACAUCCCGGUCGCGGUUUCCCGAGAUGGAUUCAUUCAGUUAGGCCCGACCGGUGACAGGUGGUGCAUGGCAGUCGUCAGCUCGUGUCGUGAGAUGUUGGGUUAAGUCCCGCAAUGAGCGCAACCCUCGCCUUUAGUCCCCAGCACUAAGUUGGGCACUCUAAGGGGACUGCUGGUGAUAAGCCGAGAGGAAGGUGGGGAUGACGUCAAGUCCUCAUGGCCCUUUCGGGCUGGGCUACACACGUGCUACAAUGGUGGUGACAGUGGGCAGCGAGACCGCGAGGUCGAGCUAAUCUCCAAAAGCCAUCUCAGUUCGGAUUGCACUCUGCAACUCGAGUGCAUGAAGUUGGAAUCGCUAGUAAUCGCGGAUCAGCAUGCCGCGGUGAAUACGUUCCCGGGCCUUGACACACCGCCCGUCACACCAUGGGAGUUGGUUUACCCGAAGGCGCUGGCUAACCGC
rnacentral:rRNA from 1 species